rnacentral:rRNA from 1 species
GCCCAGACUCCUACGGGAGGCAGCAGUGGGGAAUAUUGCACAAUGGGGGAAACCCUGAUGCAGCAACGCCGCGUGGGUGAAGGAGCGUUUCGGCGCGUAAAGCCCUGUCAGCGGGGAAGAAGAAAGACGGUACCCGACCAAGAAGCCCCGACUAACUACGUGCCAGCAGCCGCGGUAAUACGUAGGGGGCGAGCGUUAUCCGGAAUUACUGGGUGUAAAGGGAGCGUAGACGGCGAGGUAAGCCUGAAGUGGUAGCCCGCGGCCCAACCGCGGAACUGCUUUGGGAACUGUUUUGCUGGAGUAUGGGAGGGGUAAGCGGAAUUCCUGGUGUAGCGGUGAAAUGCGUAGAUAUCAGGAGGAACACCGGUGGCGAAGGCGGUCAACUGGACAGCAACUGACGCUGAGGCGCGAAAGCGUGGGGAGCAAACAGGAUUAGAUACCCGUGUAC